rnacentral:rRNA from 1 species
UACGUAGGAUGCAAGCGUUGUCCGGAAUCACUGGGCGUAAAGGGUCCGUAGGCGGUUUGUUAAGUCUCCUGUGAAAGUUCAAGGCUCAACCUUGAAAUGUCGGGGGAUACUGGCAAACUUGAGACUGUCAGAGGCAAGUGGAAUUCCCGGUGUAGUGGUGAAAUGCGUAGAUAUCGGGAGGAACACCAGUGGCGAAAGCGGCUUGCUGGGACAGUUCUGACGCUGAGGGACGAAAGCGUGGGUAGCAAACCGG